GAUACGGAAGCCGGGAAGUUAACCGCGAGGUGGAAAGAGGUCUUUCUUUUCGCAGCAGCCUGAAAAGAGAUCGGAGCCAUUUCUCCGCAGAGAUGCCUUUCUCUAAAUAUUACAGCGUCAUAUUUAAAAAUACAGAAACUAAUGUUUCCUUUCUGUCGUUGGGUAGCGGCAGUGAAGCGGGCAGAAGUAAAAACCGACUGAAAGAUGAGAAUGAAAAAUGAAUAUUGCUGUGAGCUUAAAAGAGUCGCAGCUGGAUGAAUCCAAUCCAAGGAUGAUGGGAUAAUCCUGGGAUUAACGUUGCUGUGGAGCAGCUGGUGAUGAUGGGGUGAAAACUGAAGCUGUCUGAUGGGAUGGAGAGCAGUUUGGAAGCCAACGCAGAAGAUCACGGCUCAUUCUGGGACUCUAAUGGAAUGCAAAAAUUAACAUUCAAAUCUGCUUCCCAGAGGGCGACAAAACACACCGAUGUGACAAUGAAUGCAGUCAGAAUACAUCUUAUCUGAAGAAGUGACCUUUUCUAUAGUUUUAUUUGCUGAAUAAAGUCUGAAUUGUGUAGAAAGUG